rnacentral:tRNA from 1 species
CGGGAUGUAGCGCAGCUUGGUUAGCGCGCCACGUUCGGGACGUGGAGGUCCCGGGUUCAAAUCCCGGCAUCCCGACCA